rnacentral:rRNA from 1 species
UACGUAGGGUGCGAGCGUUGUCCGGAAUUAUUGGGCGUAAAGAGCUCGUAGGCGGUGUGUCGCGUCGGCCGUGAAAACCUGGGGCUUAACUCUGGGCGUGCGGUCGAUACGGGCAUCACUAGAGUUCGGCAGGGGAGACUGGAAUUCCUGGUGUAGCGGUGAAAUGCGCAGAUAUCAGGAGGAACACCAAUGGCGAAGGCAGCUCGCUGGGACGGUACUGACGCUGAGACGCGAAAGCGUGGGGAGCAAACAGG